GACUGGUCUGAUGGUAGUGGGUUAUCAGAACUUAUUAACAUUAGUGUCACUAAAGUUGGUAUACAACCCCCUCUACGGCUAAAUUGGCUUAAA
rnacentral:Y_RNA from 1 species